CAAAAAAGGACACUUCAGAGAAUAUUUUCCUAUAAUUUUGCAUUUUACUCUUGUUUCUCACACUGAAAGAAUCUGAUGCUUUACUUGCGGCUACAAGCUGGCUCAGGCUUUCCUUGUGACUAAGCUGCAUGCUGAUUUGCAAUACAAUGCCUUCUGUGUGUUGUAUAGACAUGAAUACAUGGGAAAGCCGGCAGAGUGAGCGAGCUGUGUGUUGUUCAUUUGGCAUGUCCCAGUACUGUAUUGGAACACAAAAUGUGGGCUUGAGGCGUCAUUACUUAUAGCCAUGGAGGAAGAGGAUGGGCGAUCGGAAGGUUAUCAUACUAUACGGAAAAGGACUGUGAUGGUAGAGAGACAUUUGAAUCAAAAUGUUGCCCCUGUCUUUUGAGAUGAAUUCUGGUGAUAUCACCUGCACAAACAACCUGUUGAGGCACAGUGAAGCUACUCUUAAAAGUAAGGAGUGGGGAAGAAUGUUGCUACAUGCACCCAGUCUUUGUGAUCUGACAGCCACAAGACUCAAAAGGGUCCAAUUUUCUUUUCAUAUGGGAUGUGUGUUUUGUACACAUUGUAAUUUGUGGUUUGAGGAUAAAAGAACCAAGAGUGACAUUUGAAACUGGACUCUAUUCAUUUUGAUUACCUCAUAUUUCAGGGAUGCAGAGCUGGUCAGGCAGUAGCAGGGUCAAAAAGUGAGCUAUUUUUGGUUGUACAACACAAGUGAAUUAGGUGUUAUCUCUAAGAUAAAGGUAACUGUUGUAUCAGCGAAAAGUGAUAGCACUCUGAGUCUAUUAUGUACUAUCUUGUAUUGCUUUGCCAUGCAACUCAGCUCUGCUAUUGAAAAGGCCUUCUCUUUGAUAUGUUUCUGUUCUUGAUUUCCUGAAAGAUCCUCAGGGUGGUCACUGGGAGGCAGGUCUACCUUGGGAGAGAAGUGGCUAUGCAGUAGGGCCUGGGAGAGUGGAUGAAGGAACUGUCAUGGAAAUGGGUAACAUGGCUGAUUUGGUCAAUGAGAAGAAAACAAUUGUUUAAAGGGUAAUGCUGAUGUGGAUAGAAAAAGAGUAAGUCUGAAGAAGAUAUGAUCUCUGCAACAAACUCCAAACAAACUACAUUUGUUCCAGAGGUAAACUCUCUAGCCCAAAGCUUGAAAAAAGUUUUAUUCAAAAUUAAUGCUUUUUGUCUACUACUCUUUAGCAAAUCUCAGUCCAUUGUGCCAGUCUGCCUUUUAUCCUAAAACUCCCCAGCUUUGAUGUUAAGGUUAUAGUUUUUGAACACCAGCUGUCACCCAUGACAUCCAUUGUUCUUAUUACAAUGCUUGGAUUGCACGCUAGCAAAA
rnacentral:lncRNA from 1 species